rnacentral:tRNA from 1 species
AGUAAAAUAAGCUAAUAAAAGCUACUGGGCUCAUGCCCCAGAAAUGGAGACCUAAAAACCCCUUUUACUA